UACGUAGGGGGCAAGCGUUGUCCGGAAUCAUUGGGCGUAAAGCGCGUGUAGGCGGUCCGGUAAGUCCGCUGUGAAAGUCGGGGGCUCAACCCUCGGAUGCCGGUGGAUACUGUCGGGCUUGAGUACGGAAGAGGCGAGUGGAAUUCCUGGUGUAGCGGUGAAAUGCGCAGAUAUCAGGAGGAACACCGAUGGCGAAGGCAGCUCGCUGGAACGGUACUGACGCUGAGGCGCGAAAGCGUGGGGAGCGAACAGG
rnacentral:rRNA from 1 species